rnacentral:rRNA from 1 species
GACAGAGGUGCCAAGCGUUAGGCGGAAUUACUGGGCGUAAAGCGUGCGUAGGUGGUUUGUUAAGUCUGAUGUGAAAGCCCUGGGCUCAACCUGGGAAUUGCACUGGAUACUGGCAGGCUAGAGUGCGGUAGAGGAUGGCGGAAUUCCCGGUGUAGCAGUGAAAUGCGUAGAGAUCGGGAGGAACAUCCGUGGCGAAGGCGGCCAUCUGGACCAGCACUGACACUGAGGCACGAAAGCGUGGGGAGCAAACAGG